rnacentral:tRNA from 1 species
UCCGGGGUCGUCUAACGGCAGGACAUCAGACUUUGGAUCUGAGUAUCUAGGUUCGAAUCCUAGCCCCGGAA